UACAGAGGGUGGCAAGCGUUGCUCGGAAUCAUUGGGCGUAAAGGGCAGGUAGGUGGUCUCGUUUGUCUGGGGUGAAAGCCCAGGCUUAACCCUGGAAGUGCCCGGAAACGGCGAGACUAGAGUCUUGGAGAGGGUCGUGGAAUUCCCGGUGUAGCGGUGAAAUGCGUAGAGAUCGGGAAGAACAUCAGUGGCGAAGGCGGCCUGCUGGGCUGUUGCUGACGCUGAGGCGCGACAGCGUGGGGAGCAAACAGG
rnacentral:rRNA from 1 species